GUGUCUUAUGACGCGCAUCCACGUGACUGAGCUGUUGUUUUUAUUUGUUCUUGUAUGACUGAAUACCUACAGCCCGGUUGUUAAAUUAUCCCCAUUUUACGUUAAAAAAUACCCUAAAGGAUUGAUUCUAAACAUCGUUUGACGUGUUUCUACAAACGGUAAUGGAACUUUUUGGCCAUUUCGUCUACGGAUUUGCGUCCACGCCACAUUGGCAUGGUAACAUGUAGUUCUGGACGGGUCAACAAAACGGACGUAUUUUCGACAUAAAUGAUGGACUUUUGCAGAACAAAUGAAAAUUUUUAUUGUGGAAGUGGGAGCCCAUCCGAGUGCAUUCCGCCGAAGAUCAGCAAAAGCUCCUCUGUCAGAAACAACUUGAAGCACUCUGCCUCAGAUGGAAAUGGACUCCAGACUGGGACUCAUCAAAACAAACAGCAGGGCCAGGAGGGGUGAAAUGACUAGCGGCCUUCCAGCUACCACAGAACUCCUGUACUUCAUCCACUGUCGGUCUCCCUCCAUCACCACCAGCAUCUUCAAAGGGACCUGGUACUUGGUCAGUGGACAAGGGAACCUCAGAUUCAGGGUUCUCAAUGGCUACAAGGUUGGGGGGGGGGGGCAGCUCCUCACUGUCAGAAUCUGAUUCCUGACUUUCAGACUCAGACUCAUUGUCAGAAUUGUAAAAAAAAUCUCCAGAAUUUCCACAUUUGUGAGUUGUCUCCUUUUGAAAGACAUUGCUAAUGCUACAGCUUAGCUCACUAGCUACAUACAUAAACAACAACACUGAAUGGCUCAGAGUGAGAGGGGACGUGAUUGACUGCCGGCGUGCGUCACUUGUAUCAAUAAAUCACCAUCAGAAAAUGUUUUGUGAGGUAAUUAUUUGUGUAUUUACUGUUUUAUUCACAUGUUUUCAGUUCUGGGUGACAAAUCAUGCAUUCCGAUUCUUGCAUAGAUUGUAAUGGGCACAUAUUAUGUGUGUAAAAUACUUAUUUGAAGGUUAUACUGAUUAUGAUGAGCUAUGUGUAUGGAGCCAUGUUUGUUGACAUACAAUGCAUUCUGGGUUUCACGUAAUCAUCCGUUUGACCAAAGAUGUUAUAACAAAAUGAGGUGAGUAAGAGUUCACUCAUUUUUUGAGGACUUCUGGAAAUGAAUGGUGGGAUGUGAACGACGGUAGAUGACACACCCCUUCAACACUAUAAACAGACCGAACUCAUCUUGUCUUUUAUUAUCUUCGGUUUCUGUGAGGGAAAAAUGCAUGGCUGCGCGCUGAAACUAAUCGUCGGAUUACUGUCGAUUUAUAGGAAGUGUUUUACCUAAUUAUUUCGAUCAAUGGUGAGCUCACCCCGUGAUGUGAUUAAUUAUACAUAGUAAUUGCAAUUAGCUAAUUCAUAUUGUAGUUUACAUCAGCCGAGAGUUAGAAAAUAUGACUGCUUGUGUUGGGUCAAUCUUUCUUCAGUUAGCGCUACGACAAAUGUAGCCUACAUUUUUUCCGGUUAGGAUGAUUGUGUUGUGCUAUAUAUAUA
rnacentral:lncRNA from 1 species